GGAGGGGUGGCAGAGUGGCUUAAUGCACCAGUCUUGAAAACUGGCGUCCGAAAGGACUCGUGGGUUCGAAUCCCACCCCCUCCG
rnacentral:tRNA from 1 species